rnacentral:rRNA from 1 species
UGCAAGUCGAGCGGACCUUUCAAAGCUUGCUUUUGAAAGGUCAGCGGCGGACGGGUGAGUAACACGUGGGCAACCUGCCUGUAAGACUGGGAUAACUUCGGGAAACCGGAGCUAAUACCGGAUAAUAUAAAGAACCUCCUGGUUCUUUAUUGAAAGAUGGUUUCGGCUAUCACUUACAGAUGGGCCCGCGGCGCAUUAGCUAGUUGGUGAGGUAACGGCUCACCAAGGCGACGAUGCGUAGCCGACCUGAGAGGGUGAUCGGCCACACUGGGACUGAGACACGGCCCAGACUCCUACGGGAGGCAGCAGUAGGGAAUCUUCCACAAUGGACGAAAGUCUGAUGGAGCAACGCCGCGUGAGCGAUGAAGGCCUUCGGGUCGUAAAGCUCUGUUGUUAGGGAAGAACAAGUGCGAGAGUAACUGCUCGCACCUUGACGGUACCUAACCAGAAAGCCACGGCUAACUACGUGCCAGCAGCCGCGGUAAUACGUAGGUGGCAAGCGUUGUCCGGAAUUAUUGGGCGUAAAGCGCGCGCAGGUGGUCCUUUAAGUCUGAUGUGAAAGCCCACGGCUCAACCGUGGAGGGUCAUUGGAAA